CCGUGGUUGCUCAGUGGAGGACAGUCCUCGGAGGGUUAUUAACCCCCUCCGAGACGAUCAACAAAGCAAGAGUGUUGAACACCGCAAACCACAGUGAGAGAAAUGACAUUGACAUUUGGUUUCACUUGCAGUUUCCCUGGGUCACUGGGUUCUUCUCCAUUUCUUGUUGCCCUUUUGGGAUGAGGGGUUUCCAGUGCAGCUGCUAAAGGGAUUCCUUGGAAGAGCAUGAAUGACAGCAGCAAGGACAAUAGUAAGCACCUACACUGGUGUCAAGAGAAGGCAGCAUUGAUCUGAUGUCCCUGGAAGAUCUUCCAAGUGGCCUAGCAAGACCGGGACAGCUCAGAGGAAACUGUCUGCUCACUCAUAUAUUCCACAAGAAUACCUUGAGUACCUACUUGGUGGAGAUACAUAGAACAACAUAUAAGCUGUCAGAAAGGACUUCUAGAUUGGGCAUCUUUACAUGUGCAGUGUUCAUAAGACCAUCACGUAGCAGCCGAACCAACAGAAUUGCUAUCACCUCUUGAGCUGGGCCGGUCUGCUUGGCUCCAGGUCCUCAAGUUCAGGACAGAGAGCAGAGAAAAGCACUCUGAAGCUAUGGGAGAACCACAGAAAC